UACAGAGGUCUCAAGCGUUGUUCGGAUUCAUUGGGCGUAGAGGGUGCGUAGGCGGCGCGGUAAGUCGGGUGUGAAAUCUUGGAGCUUAACUCCGAAACUGCAUUCGAUACUGCCGUGCUUGAGGACUGGAGAGGAGACUGGAAUUUACGGUGUAGCGGUGAAAUGCGUAGAUAUCGAUAAGGAAGACCAGUGGCGAAGGCGGGUCUCUGGACAGUUCCUGACGCUGAGGCACG
rnacentral:rRNA from 1 species